GUGACCAGAGACCAGAGGAGACCAGAGACCAGAGGUGACCAGAGACCAGAGGAGACCAGAGGUGAUCAGAGACCAGAGGAGACCAGACACCAGAGGAGACCAGAGGUUACCCAGCAGGUCUGAAGGAGUACACCAGAGACCCUGUGGCUUACUGACCUUUGCUGCUGAUGGCGGAGGAGUCUGAGAAGUGCCUCUUGAAUGUUGCAUGAUGGGAGUUUCCUGAGGGUCUGGAGGUCACCGUCUGCGGGCGGAAUGUCCCGGGAGCGUCUCUGAGGUGACGUGGUCCAACAUGGCUGCCGGGAUGGCUCUGAGAGAGAGCUGAUUGGUCGGCUGUGACCCCAGCGCCCUUCGUCUGGGCGUCCCCCCCCUGGCCGCUCGCAGCCCUCCCGCCGGCCACCGGGGCCGAGUUAGUGCGCCUGUACCCGCACGCCAGCGGCUGGCCCGCGCCCCGCGGGGGGGCGGGCCCGAUGGCCACUGGCGUGGUGGAGAGGCCCCGCCCACGGGCGGGCGUGCUGGGGUGACCCCGCCCGCAGGGAGGGGCCUGAGGGGCCGAGGAGGGCUGGCUGUUGGAGAACUUCUCUACGUCCUCACACACCUGGAGCAGCAGCUGGUCGUCUCCGCCCUCGUCCCACCAGCCGUCCGGGGCCCCGGGGCCCUGGACCGCCGCGCUCGACUGAGGCUUCACCGUGGUUACCGGCUUCACCGUGGUUACCGGCUUCACCGUGGUUACUGGUGUCACCAUUGUUAGCGCCAUCACCGUGGUAACGGGCUGCCUUUUGACAGGUUGAACUGCCUGCAGGUGCUCUGACCUGUGAUUGGUCAAGGCGGGGGGGGCCAAGCACUCUGAACCUUGAUUCGUCAAGGCGGGGGGGGCCAAGCACUCUGACCCUUGAUUCGUCAAGGCGGGGGGCCAGGCGCUCUGACCCGUGAUUGGUCGAGGCGGGGGGGCAGGCGCUCUGACCUGUGAUUGAUUGAGGCGGGGGGUGCCAGACACCUUGGGUUGGGCUCCAGUCUGAAGGUGCUGCGCUGGGGGGUCCUGGGUCCGGGACAGCCGCCCCUGGGUCCGGGAGUCCUCCCCUGGGGUGGGCAGGAGGAGUCGACCCCCGGGGGAGCCCCUGAGGUCGUGGCAACCACCAGCGAGUCGUUCAUCAGGUCAUCGUCCUCCCAGUCGUCCUCAAAGUCAUCCUCAAAAUCCUGGACCACCGGCCCCGGGCCCCGGACCGCCACCCCCGGGGGCCGGUCUGAGGGCCUGAGGGGUCCCUGGCUCAGGGGCCCGCUGAGGGCCCCUUGGCUGAGGGCUCCCUGGCUGAGGGGCCCACUGACCCCCUUUCUGAGGGGCCCGCUGAACCCCUGACUGAGGGGCCCCUCGCUGAGGGUCCCCUGGCUCAGGGCCCCACUGACCUUCUGGGUGGAGCUGUCGAACAGCGCCCGGAGCUCCGCCUCCACCCGCUGCGACUCAGAGGGGGGGGGAAGCGGAGGGGGGGUUGCGGCCAGGUUGCUGGUGGAACGGGGGUCAUCAGCCAGGUCGCCGUGGGGACGAGGGGCGGCGGCCAGGUCGCCGUGGGGACGCCGGGCAGCGGCCAGGUAACCGUGGGGACGGGGGUCAUCAGCCAGGUCGCCGUGGGGACGUAGGGCAGCGGCCAGGUCGCCGUGGGGACGUGGGGCAGCGGCCAGAUCGCCGUGGGGACGUGGGGCAGCGGCCAGGUCGUCGUGGAGACGAGGGGCGGCGGCCAGGUCGUCGGAGCGCUCCAUGUUCCGGUCGAAGGCUCGGGCCAGCUCCACCAGGCCGUCCACACUGCUCUGCCUGGGGAGAGAGACACAUCAGGACCCCCAUUAGAUACUAGUUAUAGCUCGAUUAGGAAUCAGACCUGCCCAGGAGGAGGGUGGGGUCCUGCCCCAGGAGGACUAGAGGUAGACUCUGACCUGACUGAGCGCCUGCGGGCGCGGUGCGUCCGGGGCUCGGGGGUGCAGGACACCCCGCAGUCGCCCAUCCACUGCAAGAGGGGCGACGGCGCCGGCCGGACGUCCUGCGGGCAUCGGACACACGGCCGUUAGACCAGCCACCAUGACACCUUCACUGCCCAGAGGCGGCCUGACGCUAGGCGGUGUAAUGCUAGGCGCGGUGUGACGCUAGGCGGUGUAAUGCUAGGCGCGGUGUGACGCUAGGCGGUGUAAUGCUAGGCGCGGUGUGACGCUAGGCGGUGUAAUGCUAGGCGUGGUGUGACGCUAGGCGGUGUGUGAUGCUAGGCGGUGUGUGAUGCUAGGCGGUGUGUGAUGCUAGGCAGUGUGUGAUGCUAGGCAGUGUGAUGCUAGACAGUGUUACGCUAGGCAGCGUGACACUAGGCAGUGUGUGAUGCUAGGCGCAGUGUGAUGCUAGGUGCGGUAUGAUGCUAGGCGGUGUGUGAUGCUAGGCGGUGUGUGAUGCUAGGCGCGGUGUGUGAUGCUAGGCGCAGUGUGAUGCUAGGCGCAGUGUGAUGCUAGGCGGUGUGUGAUGCUAGGCGGUGUGUGAUGCUAGGCGGUGUGUGAGGCGAACCCGGUGGACGGUAGCUGUACCGACCUUGGGGGGCGAUGCGGUUCACUAUGUCGGAUAUCUUCACCAUCCUGGUGGUCCUGGAACCCCCGCCUGGAAACACAUGAUAGCAGCUGAUCGUACAGGCUUCAUUACAGCACCAGCAUUCUGUCCCACCCCCCUGUGAGUGAGGGUACGUACUGGGGCCGGGCUGGGUGGGGGAGGUGGGGUCCCAGAUGAUGUCCUGGGUGACCUCGUCCCCCGGGAGAGUCCCCGCUAGUCAAGACCGAGUAGCGGUCGCAGGUCCAUCGUCUGGGGGUCUGCACGGCUGAGACAGAACACUCAGUCUCCUGGUACAGUACUAUUCUUCUGGUUUAGUGCUAGUCUCCUGGUACAAUAUUAAUCUUCUGAUUUAAUACUAGUCUCCUGGUUUAUUACUAGUGUUCUGGUUUAUCACUAGUCU
ensembl:lncRNA